rnacentral:lncRNA from 1 species
GCAGCUGGGGCGCCCGCCGCCCGCUCCCUGUACCGCCCGUCCAAGAGCAUGCGCGGCCGCGACCGCAGGGGCACCUAGCCAGCCCGUCCGGAGAAAGGAAAGGACUUGCUGAAGGAUACAGAGCCAUUCUGCUUCAGGGGCUACCGAGUUCGUUCACUGUCAGGUCACUGUGUUUGAGAUUUGGAGCUAUCGUCCGUUAAGAGACCAGUUGGAAGGACCUCAGUCCGAAGCGUUCCGAAGUCCAUGGGGAACUACACUCCAGGUCCCAGGCGUUAUUACCAGGGAUAGCCCUUGCUCCAAGACCUGGCACGUCACGCCUCUGGUUGCACUCAGACCUGUGGGACUGCAAUAUUUCGAAGUUGGUUAGGGAAAGCCGGUCCUCUUAACCAAAGGACGAUUCCAGGUUCGACAGUCCCAAGGAUCCGAACCAAAUGAAGAGUUGUGCGUCCGUCCAGCAGGGAUCAGAACUGCAGCCCCCCAAGUGCUACCAGAUAGCUAGCUGUGUGACUCCAGAUGAGUCUCUUAACCUCUCGGUAGCUGAAACUGGAGGGCGACGCCCCUGGGUGUGCAUCUGAUACCCAGAGCCAGCCACUUCGAGGGCCUUCCCGCCCUUCUUUGCUCUCUAGGUCCACCGGGACCCUGGCGGGACCGGGACGUAGCUUCCUUUCCUCAGUCCACACCUUUCCUACACGCACCCGGGUGCGACCCUGAGUGGCUGAGACUCCUGCCCGCGGACUGGCUACUGUUAAGACCCGGAGAUGUGCUCCGGGCUGAAGUCCCUGCUGUGACAGACACAGGUGCUUGGUCCCUGUGGCAGCUGCAACGUCCUUGAGCAUCGAUCUUCGCCACCAAAGGAGGAUACAGGGCGGCUUCCGGAGCGGAUAAGGCUGGAGCAGCUUUAGAAACUGGUUCUCUUUUCUGGCCUUUGGCACGCGGCUCCUUUGUCAAGUUAAAGCACGCUGUCCUAUAAAAAUAUGACUGGCUCC